GACGAACGCUGGCGGCGUGCCUAAUACAUGCAAGUAGAACGCUGAAGCGAGGAGCUUGCUCUUCUUGGAUGAGUUGCGAACGGGUGAGUAACGCGUAGGUAACCUGCCUUGUAGCGGGGGAUAACUAUUGGAAACGAUAGCUAAUACCGCAUAACAAUGGAUGACCCAUGUCAUUUAUUUGAAAGGGGCAAAUGCUCCACUACAAGAUGGACCUGCGUUGUAUUAGCUAGUAGGUGAGGUAACGGCUCACCUAGGCGACGAUACAUAGCCGACCUGAGAGGGUGUCCGCCCCCCCGGGAACGGGGCCACGCCCCAGACUCCUACGGGAGGCGGCGGUAGGGAAUCUUCGGCAAUGGGGGCACCCCUGACCGACCACGGCCGCUUGGUUGAGGAGGUUUUUCGGUUCUUAAACCCCUGUUUUAGUUCAGAACCGGUUUUGGGGUUGAAAGUUCCCCCCGGGACGGUAGCCUACCCGAAAGGGACGGCUAACUACGUG
rnacentral:rRNA from 1 species